rnacentral:rRNA from 1 species
AUGUGCAAUUCGGCUGCUUUGGAAACAAGAGAUCACCUCUUUUUCCACUGCCUUUUUGCUCAACACUGUUGGACUUACAUAUAUCCUACCUGGACACCUAAUUUCAUGGGCAUUCAAGAGGAAUUACGUGCUCUUAAGCAGCUCCUUCAAGUGCCUUUUGCUUUGGAAAUAAUCAUCCUCGUAUCAUGGGCCAUCUGGACAACGAGGAAUAACUAUAUUUUCAAAUCAAUGCCUCCAAGCCUGUACACUUGUAGGAGAAAGCUAAAGGAAGAACUUAAAUGGGUUGUUUACACGGCCAAAAGGGAGGACUAUGCAGGGUUUGCAGACCGGAUCAAGGCAUUCAGAUAA